rnacentral:rRNA from 1 species
UUUAAAUUUAGAGUUUGAUCCUGGCUCAGGACGAACGCUGGCGGCGUGCUUAACACAUGCAAGUCGAGCGAUGAAGCUUCCUUCGGGAGGUGGAUUAGCGGCGGACGGGUGAGUAACACGUGGGUAACCUGCCUCAAAGUGGGGGAUAGCCUUCCGAAAGGAAGAUUAAUACCGCAUAAUAUAAGAGAAUCGCAUGAUUUUUUUAUCAAAGAUUUAUUGCUUUGAGAUGGACCCGCGGCGCAUUAGCUAGUUGGUAAGGUAACGGCUUACCAAGGCAACGAUGCGUAGCCGACCUGAGAGGGUGAUCGGCCACAUUGGAACUGAGACACGGUCCAGACUCCUACGGGAGGCAGCAGUGGGGAAUAUUGCGCAAUGGGGGAAACCCUGACGCAGCAACGCCGCGUGGGUGAUGAAGGUCUUCGGAUUGUAAAGCCCUGUUUUCUAGGACGAUAAUGACGGUACUAGAGGAGGAAGCCACGGCUAACUACGUGCCAGCAGCCGCGGUAAUACGUAGGUGGCGAGCGUUGUCCGGAUUUACUGGGCGUAAAGGGUGCGUAGGCGGAUGUUUAAGUGGGAUGUGAAAUCCCCGGGCUUAACCUGGGGGCUGCAUUCCAAACUGGAUAUCUAGAGUGCAGGAGAGGAAAGCGGAAUUCCUAGUGUAGCGGUGAAAUGCGUAGAGAUUAGGAAGAACACCAGUGGCGAAGGCGGCUUUCUGGACUGUAACUGACGCUGAGGCACGAAAGCGUGGGUAGCAAACAGGAUUAGAUACCCUGGUAGUCCACGCCGUAAACGAUGGAUACUAGGUGUAGGGGGUAUCAACUCCCCCUGUGCCGCAGUUAACACAAUAAGUAUCCCGCCUGGGGAGUACGGUCGCAAGAUUAAAACUCAAAGGAAUUGACGGGGGCCCGCACAAGCAGCGGAGCAUGUGGUUUAAUUCGAAGCAACGCGAAGAACCUUACCUGGACUUGACAUCCCUUGCAUAGCCUAGAGAUAGGUGAAGCCCUUCGGGGCAAGGAGACAGGUGGUGCAUGGUUGUCGUCAGCUCGUGUCGUGAGAUGUUAGGUUAAGUCCUGCAACGAGCGCAACCCUUGUUAUUAGUUGCUACCAUUAAGUUGAGCACUCUAAUGAGACUGCCUGGGUAACCAGGAGGAAGGUGGGGAUGACGUCAAAUCAUCAUGCCCCUUAUGUCCAGGGCUACACACGUGCUACAAUGGUAGGUACAAUAAGACGCAAGACCGUGAGGUGGAGCAAAACUUAUAAAACCUAUCUCAGUUCGGAUUGUAGGCUGCAACUCGCCUACAUGAAGCUGGAGUUGCUAGUAAUCGCGAAUCAGAAUGUCGCGGUGAAUACGUUCCCGGGCCUUGUACACACCGCCCGUCACACCAUGAGAGCUGGUAACACCCGAAGUCCGUGAGGUAACCGUAAGGAACCAGCGGCCGAAGGUGGGAUUAGUGAUUGGGGUGAAGUCGUAACAAGGUAGCCGUAGGAGAACCUGCGGCUGGAUCACCUCCUUUCUA